UAAUACAGAGGGUGCGAGCGUUGUCCGGAAUCACUGGGCGUAAAGGGCGCGUAGGUGGCGCGACAAGUCAGUGGUGAAAGCUCGAUGCUUAACAUCGAGUCGGCCACUGAUACUGUUGGGCUUGAGCACUGUAGAGGCUAAUGGAAUUCCGGGUGUAGCGGUGGAAUGCGUAGAGAUCCGGAAGAACACCGGUGGCGAAGGCGGUUAGCUGGGCAGUUGCUGACACUGAGGCGCGACAGCGUGGGGAGCAAACAGGAUUAGAUACCCUGGUAGUCCACGCCGUAAACGAUGGGCACUAGAUGCUUGGGGGAGCGACCCCCUGAGUGUCGACGCUAACGCAUUAAGUGCCCCGCCUGGGGAGUACGGCCGCAAGGCUG
rnacentral:rRNA from 1 species